ACUAAUAUUUUUAAGAAUAAUUAUGAUACACUUUGACUCCCCAUGAAUAAAGCAAAGAUUUAUAAAUGGUAUAAGAGUAAGUUUGUGCUUUUUGGUGACUGGAGUUUUAAACACUUCAUACUCAAACCAAAAUAAAGGGGUGUAAGUGAUGGGAAGAUUCUCUCAAGAUUUGUAGCAACUCUUCGAAUAUUGCUCAUUUUUUGAGGGAUAACAUUUUUCAUCCCAAGCAGAACAAUAUUUUUUCCAUGAAAAUUGAUAUGGAAUAGAUUUUAAAUGUUAAAUAUGACAUUUUUUAAUAAGCCCAGUUUCCAUCACUGCAAGUUAUGUGGACAUUUUAUUUUGAAGAGAGAACAUCACUGUUCUACACGCUAACCUAUAAUUGUUAAACAACCUUUAAAGUUUCUCAGUGUGAUUUGUUCUAGCACUGGCUUCCUUCAGCCCCAUGAUGCAGAACAAUUGGUGACUGGGGACACACAGCUGAAGGUAUUUCACUGCUUUAUUUCCUCUGCCUCUGAAUUGUCAGACUUGUGAGCAUCUAUCCGGCACAUGGAACUAAAUUUGUGCUUGGGCAAGGGUGGAGUCCAAAGUGACAAUUUUGGGUAACUCACUUUGUUCUUUAAGGCUUUAAACUUUCUGCAUCACUCCUUCAGCUUCUUCUCACCUACCCCUUUCCUUAUUUUGGUUUGUUAGUUGCUAUUAAAUGAAACUUGAUGCUUUUCCUAAAUAGUACUACACUUCUCCAAGCUGCAAAAGAUUUAAAGAGUCACGGGGUGAGGCACAUCCUAAACUUCUCAGAAUGUUUUGCUGCCUGGUUCUACAUCUCAGCUCACAGGAGGAGCUUUCCCAGACCUGCACAACUUCCAGAGUGGCAUGUUGGAAACAGGGUCCAACAUGAGAGGGGAGAUUGGAAGUUUUAUCUCUGCCACAGAGAAUAUGGGACAAAUGCAGAGGAGGAGAGGGGCUGAGCAGCAGGGAAGCUGCUGAAGUCAUGACCCAAAAUAAGCAUCACAAGCAAGUUGUACUGUGAUUUCCUGCAGACUGUAUCUGCUCUCAGAUCUUUGCAGCUCUUUCCUUGUGGGAGGGGGCAGCAGAAUUUAUUCCAGUGGUUUCAGAAUUAGAUUUCUCAAAGGGAGAAAGGAGUGGGGAGGAACACAACCCACUGUGGCUGUAUGGGAUGCUGAUUUAAUUUACAUUUGUGGUGAUUGGAUUGCAGUAAUUUCCCUGGAGAGAAGCUUCUGAGAUAAUAAUUUCCAAAGACAAGCUUAGCCAUGGUGAGCUGAGGACUUCCUGAAACAGGAUGGCCUACUGAGAAAAAUAUCUUUUUAAACUCAUGUGGCUUCAGCCAAAUUUAAUAGGAAUUCAAAGGAUAGGAAAGCAUAGAGAGACUGUCUUGCAGGCACAGCAAGUUCAUUUGUGGAAAAAAUUCUGUGUUGGUAAAAUUGUUUGCUAUAAAAUUAUCUUUCAGGCAAUUGCAUUCAAUAUCCUUUUAAAAGAUCUGUGGGGAGUUUGGGAGACAUUAAUAAAAAGCCUGGUAUAUUUUCAGUUCUCCAGGCCAAGUAUUCAAAAAUCUGCGCCCCCAUAAAAUCCUUGGAGCACAAGAGUGGGCAGGGUUUAGCCAUAAUGGCAUGAUAGGAGAAAAAGCUCAAGUUCUGACUCGUUUCUGUCUCACUUUUGUGCCAAUGUUGUCACCUGUUUCUCUACAGAGAAGGAGUUUCAGCCCUUUUUUACCUGGAGGCCUUCAGUCCAGCCUACCAUGGUCCAUCUCAAGAGAGCUCUGAGCUGGACUGCUUUCAGAUUUCUUUGUAUUAUUCUGUCUGAUACAAAGAUUUUCUACGUGGCUCCAUUCCAAUCUCUGGAGCAUGUCUGUCUGACAAACUGAUUUGAAGAUCUACAUUUGGUGAUAAAGGUCACAAAACAACAAAAAAAGAAUAGUGAGAGAUCAGUAGUAAAGUGUGGAAAGCUGCAUCUUUUGAGGAAGAAACCACAUUUUUCUCCAUUCUGUGAGACAGCAGCAAAUUGUGCUCAGCAGAGUGUGGAAGCCCAGGAGAAGAGGAAAGCACAGCUCUUUUCUACAUUAUCACAAAGAAUAUUUCUUUUUCAAGUCCAUAUCCUGGUUUAAAUCCAGACUGUGCCUAAACCAGAAGGUUGCCAACUAGAUGUAUUUGUCAUUAUUGUCUGUGGGUUUCCUUCAGGGAAGAGAUUUUGGAUAUGGAGGCAGUGUUUGGCUGGGGCUGCUGCAUCCAGGCCAGGCUUUCAGACCCAGCCAGAGCAGCUGUAUUUAGAAGAUGAAAGGAAGAAACCUUCUGCCAGGGCAGAUCUGGCACUCACCAUUCGUCAUUUUUUACAAGCAAGAGAGACUUUCACAAGCCUAAUAGCAGGACUCCAUUAAAAUAACUGAAAGUUCUUGCUGAGUGAAUGUACCAAAUUUUUGAAUGCAGGGGUUCAUCUUGACCUACUGAAUUUAGUCAUUUAA